rnacentral:misc_RNA from 1 species
UACGGAGGUGGCAAGCGUUGUCCGGAAUUAAUGGGCGUAAAGCGUACGUAGGCGGUUUCUUAAGUCUGAUGUGAAAGCCCACGGCUCAACCGUGGAGGGUCAUUGGAAACUGGGGAACUUGAGUGCAGAAGAGGAGAGUGGAAUUCCACGUGUAGCGGUGAAAUGCGGAGAGAUGUGGAGGAACACCAGUGGCGAAGGCGACUCUCUGGUCUGUAACUGACGCUGAGGUACGAAAGCGUGGGGAGCGAACAGG